AGAACGAACGCUGGCGGCAUGCCUAAUACAUGCAAGUCGAACGAACACUUCGGUGUUAGUGGCGCACGGGUGCGUAAUGCCUAGGAAUCUGCCUGGUAGUGGGGGAUAACGCUCGGAAACGGACGCUAAUACCGCAUACGUCCUACGGGAGAAAGCGAGGGGACCUUCGGGCCUUGCGCUAUCAGAUGAGCCUAGGUCGGAUUAGCUAGGUUGGUGAGGUAUGGCUCACCGAAGGCGACGAUCCGUAACUGGUCUGAGAGGAUGAUCAGUCACACUGGAACUGAGACCACGGUCCAGUACCUCCGACGGGAGCAGCGAGGUGGGAAUGUGGACAGUGGGACAACGCU
rnacentral:rRNA from 1 species